CAGCCACCCGCACAGCAGGAGGUCUGUGCUGCCCUGCGUUAAAAUCUAACUGCCUUCACACAUGUUCACUCACGCACUCAACAGUAUUAAGCAUCUGCUAGGUGCCAGGCACUGGGAAUGCAACAGCUGGAAAACAGAUAAAAAUCUCUGCCCUCAAGAAGCUGACAUUCUAGUGGGAGGAAACGAACCGAUAAGAUAAGUAAAUUAUUUAGUUUGUCAAAUGGGACAGGUGCUACGGGGUGGGGGGAAUUAGCCAGGGAAGAGGCCCAGGAGUGCUGAUGAGAGGGAUAGAUUGCAAUUUUGAAAACGGAUCAAGGAAGGUCUCACCGAGGAGGUGAGAUGGGAAGCCAGGGGUGGUUGCAUCCCUGCUUUUGCUGCUUGACUCUUCCUCUUACUCCUAGAGGGCACAAUCUGUCAGCAAAUCCUGCCUGCUGGGCCUUCUCAUCACAACCAGGGCCAAACCACUUCUCAGCGCCUCCGCUGCUUCCGCCCUCGUCUGAGCCUCCACCGCUCUCACCUGGGCGCCCUAUUUCCACCUUGUGCCUUCUGUCGAUUCCUCACUCACCAGCCCGAGGAAUCCUUGCACAGAAGUCAGAUCACAUUCCUUCCCUGUUGUCAAGGGAAGAAGACAAAUGGGCAUGAGAAGGAGAGGAUCAGGGGCUUGGAAGCCAAGAUUUUGCCAAUUUGACUUAUGCAACUUGGGCAAAAAAAAAAAUUGAGCCUCAGUCUUUUCAUCUGUGAAAUAGGGAUAACAAACUCUGAUACGAGGGGUCAGUAGUGACAAGGAUGUGAAAGCAGCCACGAUGGCAUGGCAGGGCCUAUCUGGAGUUUGGCCUUUGCAGGGGGGUAGAUGACACCCUUGUGUGUUCUAGGUCCUUUGAGAUACAUUAUCUCACUGAAGCCUCAGCAACUCCGCGGUGUUCCCAGAGGUGAGGAAACACACUGAGAGACAGAACACGACUUGACCAGGGCCACCCUGUGGGGCACGCUGGCACCUGCACAGCCCAGCUUCACCUGGUUCCAGCCCUGCCCGCGCUCUGCUCCCCACUUCCCGUAACCCUGGGCUGGCGUCAGCAGGCAGGCCUGCCAGGAGGCUGGAGCUGCCAACGACCUAUUUUUCUGGGCAAGAAGAGCCAUUUGGAGUUAGAGGUCUCAGCUGUGAAGCCAGAACAAUAAAAAUAAAAACAGCACGGACUCCUGGGCAGCCUGGACCAGGGAACCAACUGCCCCAAGAGUUGCUGCUCACCAGGCUGGAAGGCCUCCAUCCAACCACAGCUGCACAGGCAUCAGAGCUUUGGUUCUACAACGUGAGCUGAUACCAAUAGCCCCUGG
rnacentral:lncRNA from 10 species